AUCAACUCCAGAUCUUUUAUCUUCUUAUCCUCCUCAGAACCACUAGAAAGGGCACAAUGAAUAGGAUGGGUCUCAUGUCUCUAGUCCACUAAGAUAAAGUUCUUGUAUAAUUUAAUACACUUUAAUUUUUUACUUGCACUCUAGAAACUUUACUUGUCAUUUUUAAACUAUUGACUGAGUUCACAGAAUCACCAGCAGGGGGCACAACAGACUAGAGUACAGCUCUUCCUGCACAGCUCGGCUUCUCAGGACUGAAGAAAAGCGGUCACUGUUUAAGAGACAGUCAGAGCGGUGACUCUGGAGGCCCACCCAUCCCCAACACCCCAAAUAUACUGGAUAUACUGGAAAAAGUCAACACAUUUAUGAUUUGUGCAUGUUUUUGUGGACUCUCCAGGCCAUGUAAUUAUUUGGAAUUUAAUGGCGAUUCAAACCAAAAAAUUAGCAAUAAUUUAAAAAGUAUUAUUUGCAGGUAAAUUUUAAAAGAAAAAGUUUGGGAUCACAUUAGCUAAUCUGAACCUAGUUGUAGGGGGAAAAGGUGUUGUCAAUAAUUGUUCAUUGUAUUUAACUUUUUGUAAAGAAUUGAAACAUUGUUACCACCUUUAUGUUCAAAGUAUUUACUCAUAUUCUAGCGUGUGUGUGAUAUGUGUGGAAGCUGGUCCACUGGAAAUGGUUGUAAAUGUCAGUCUGUGAGGAUGUUUAAUUGACUUCUUGCUUUUGAUCCAUCCUUAUAGAUAUUACAGUUGUCUUUAUUUAGCAAGGCUAAAUUUGUUUCAAGCUUGUGGUCGCCUAGUUGAAGAUGAUGUUGUGAGAUUAUGAUGAAUGUGUUCUUUUCCCCGACAUUUGACUGCAGUCGUUGUCCAUGGUGCUGAUCAAAAGCUGGAAUGCUGCUGUUGAUAUUAAAGAUUAUUGGUAUAUGCUAUUAUUUUUACAGUUACUCUGUGUG